AGAGUUUGAUCCUGGCUCAGAAUCAACGCUGGCGGCGUGCCUAAUACAUGCAAGUCGGACGCGAAGACCCCGCAAGGGGUUGGUAGCGUGGCAAACGGGUGAGUAACGCGUGGGCGACCUGCCUUCGAGUGGGGGAUAACCUCCCGAAAGGGGGGCUAAUACCGCAUAACAUGCUCUGUUUGGAUACAGGGACAUCAAAGCCGGGGACCGCAAGGCCUGGCGCUUGAAGAGGGGCCUACGUCCGAUUAGCUAGUUGGUGGGGUAAUGGCCUACCAAGGCGACGAUCGGUAGCCGGCCUGAGAGGGCGGACGGCCACACUGGGACUGAGACACGGCCCAGACUCCUACGGGAGGCAGCAGUAGGGAAUUGUUCGCAAUGGGCGCAAGCCUGACGACGCAACGCCGCGUGGAGGAUGAAGACCCUCGGGUCGUAAACUCCUUUCGACCGAGAUGAACAUCCAUGGGGCUAAUACCCCCGUGGACUGACAGUAUCGGGAGAAGAAGCCCCGGCUAACUCCGUGCCAGCAGCCGCGGUAAUACGGGGGGGGCAAGCGUUGUUCGGAAUUACUGGGCGUAAAGGGUCCGUAGGCGGCCAACUAAGUCAGACGUGAAAUCCC
rnacentral:rRNA from 1 species